AGACCCGAAACCCGGUGAUCUAGCCAUGGGCAGGUUGAAGGUUGGGUAACACUAACUGGAGGACCGAACCGACUAAUGUUGAAAAAUUAGCGGAUGACCUGUGGCUGGGGGUGAAAGGCCAAUCAAACCGGGAGAUAGCUGGUUCUCCCCGAAAGCUAUUUAGGUAGCGCCUCGUGAAUUCAUCUCCGGGGGUAGAGCACUGUUUCGGCUAGGGGGCCAUCCCGGCUUACCAACCCGAUGCAAACUGCGAAUACCGGAGAAUGUUAUCACGGGAGACACACGGCGGGUGCUAACGUCCGUCGUGAAGAGGGAAACAACCCAGACCGCCAGCUAAGGUCCCAAAGUCAUGGUUAAGUGGGAAACGAUGUGGGAAGGCCCAGACAGCCAGGAUGUUGGCUUAGAAGCAGCCAUCAUUUAAAGAAAGCGUAAUAGCUCACUGGUCGAGUCGGCCUGCGCGGAAGAUGUAACGGGGCUAAACCAUGCACCGAAGCUGCGGCAGCGACGCUUAUGCG
rnacentral:rRNA from 2 species